rnacentral:rRNA from 1 species
UAAAAAAAGGUAAGCUACUAAGAGCGAAUGGUGGAUGCCUUGACUGGUAAAGGCGAUGAAGGACGUACUAGACUGCGAUAAGCUACGGGGAGCUGUCAAGAAGCUUUGAUCCGUAGAUUUCCGAAUGGGGCAACCCAAUGUAUAGAGAUAUACAUUACCUAUAUAGGAGCGAACGAGGGGAAUUGAAACAUCUUAGUACCCUCAGGAAAAGAAAUCAAUAGAGAUUGCGUCAGUAGCGGCGAGCGAAAGCGCAAGAGGGCAAACCCAGUGCUUGCACUGGGGGUUGUAGGACUGCAAUGUGCAAGAGCUGAGUUUAGCAGAACAUUCUGGAAAGUAUAGCCAUAGAGGGUGAUAGUCCCGUAUGCGAAAAACAAAGCUUAGCUAGCAGUAUCCUGAGUAGGGCGGGACACGAGGAAUCCUGUCUGAAUCCGGGUCGACCACGAUCCAACCCUAAAUACUAAUACCAGAUCGAUAGUGCACAAGUACCGUGAGGGAAAGGUGAAAAGAACUGAGGUGAUCAGAGUGAAAUAGAACCUGAAACCAUUUGCUUACAAUCAUUCAGAGCACUAUGUAGCAAUACAGUGUGAUGGACUGCCUUUUGCAUAAUGAGCCUGCGAGUUGUGGUGUCUGGCAAGGUUAAGCAAACGCGAAGCCGUAGCGAAAGCGAGUCUGAAUAGGGCGCUUAGUCAGAUGCUGCAGACCCGAAACGAAGUGAUCUAUCCAUGAGCAAGUUGAAGCUAGUGUAAGAACUAGUGGAGGACUGAACCCAUAGGCGUUGAAAAGCCCCGGGAUGACUUGUGGAUAGGGGUGAAAGGCCAAUCAAACUUCGUGAUAGCUGGUUCUCUCCGAAAUAUAUUUAGGUAUAGCGUUGUGUCGUAAUAUAAGGGGGUAGAGCACUGAAUGGGCUAGGGCAUACACCAAUGUACCAAACCCUAUCAAACUCCGAAUACCUUAUAUGUAAUCACAGCAGUCAGGCGGCGAGUGAUAAAAUCCGUCGUCAAGAGGGAAACAACCCAGACUACCAGCUAAGGUCCCUAAAUCUUACUUAAGUGGAAAACGAUGUGAAGUUACUUAAACAACCAGGAGGUUGGCUUAGAAGCAGCCAUCCUUUAAAGAAAGCGUAAUAGCUCACUGGUCUAGUGAUUUUGCGCGGAAAAUAUAACGGGGCUAAAGUAAGUACCGAAGCUGUAGACUUGCACACAACUUAGAUUAUUUAAGUUUAGAAUAUGAGAAACUAAGUUAUAUGUUUAGUUAUAUUUUUACUGAUUUUUAUAGAGUAAAGAUAGAAAUAAAACUUAGUAAAAUCAGUAAAAAUAUUCUUAGGCUAAAGUUAAGUAGUUUAAGUUGUGUGCAAGUGGUAGGAGAGCGUUCUAUUUGCGUCGAAGGUAUACCGGUAAGGAGUGCUGGAGCGAAUAGAAGUGAGCAUGCAGGCAUGAGUAGCGAUAAUUAAUGUGAGAAUCAUUAACGCCGUAAACCCAAGGUUUCCUACGCGAUGCUCGUCAUCGUAGGGUUAGUCGGGUCCUAAGUCGAGUCCGAAAGGGGUAGACGAUGGCAAAUUGGUUAAUAUUCCAAUACCAACAUUAGUGUGCGAUGGAAGGACGCUUAGGGCUAAGGGGGCUAGCGGAUGGAAGUGCUAGUCUAAGGUUGUAGGAGGUUAUACAGGCAAAUCCGUAUAACAAUACUCCGAGAACUGAAAGGCUUUUUGAAGUCUUCGGAUGGAUAGAAGAACCCCUGAUGCCGUCGAGCCAAGAAAAGUUUCUAAGUUUAGCUAAUGUUGCCCGUACCGUAAACCGACACAGGUGGGUGGGAUGAGUAUUCUAAGGCGCGUGGAAGAACUCUCUUUAAGGAACUCUGCAAAAUAGCACCGUAUCUUCGGUAUAAGGUGUGGUUAGCUUCGUACUAGGAUUUACUCCGAAAGCGAAGAAACUUACAACAAAGAGUCCCUCCCGACUGUUUACCAAAAACACAGCACUCUGCUAACUCGUAAGAGGAUGUAUAGGGUGUGACGCCUGCCCGGUGCUCGAAGGUUAAUUGAUGGGGUUAGCAUUAGCGAAGCUCUUGAUCGAAGCCCGAGUAAACGGCGGCCGUAACUAUAACGGUCCUAAGGUAGCGAAAUUCCUUGUCGGUUAAAUACCGACCUGCAUGAAUGGCGUAACGAGAUGGGAGCUGUCUCAAAGAGGGAUCCAGUGAAAUUGUAGUGGAGGUGAAAAUUCCUCCUACCCGCGGCAAGACGGAAAGACCCCGUGGACCUUUACUACAGCUUGACA